GACGAACGCUAGCGGCAGGCCUAAUACAUGCAAGUCGAACGGUAAGGCCUCUUCGGAAGUACACGAGUGGCGCACGGGUGCGUAACACGUAUGCAACCUACCUUUCAGCGGAGAAUAGUCAUUGGAAACGAUGAAUAAUACUCCACAUGCUCACACUAUCUCAUGAUAGAGUGAGGAAAGCUCCGGCGCUGAGAGAUGGGCAUGCGUCCCAUUAGCUAGUUGGUAAAGUAACGGUUUACCAAGGCAACGAUGGGUAACUGGUCUGAGAGGAUGAUCAGUCACACGGGCACUGAGACACGGGCCCGACUCCUACGGGAGGCAGCAGUAAGGAAUAUUGGUCAAUGGGGGCAACCCUGAACCAGCCAUGCCGCGUGCAGGACGAAAGCCCUCUGGGUUGUAAACUGCUUUUGUCUGGGAAUAAUUGACUCCUAUACGGAGUCUUGUAGGUACCAGAAGAAUAAGCACCGGCUAACUACGUGCCAGCAGCCGCGGUAAUACGUAGGGUGCAAGCGUUGUCCGGAUUUAUUGGGUUUAAAGGGUGCGCAGGCGGUUCUUUAAGUCAGUGGUGAAAGCGUCCGGCUUAACCGGAUACCCGCCAUUGAUACUGGGGAACUUGAGUACGUCUGAGGAGAUUAGAAUGCGUGGUGUAGCGGUGAAAUGCAUAGAUAUCACGCAGAAUACCGAUUGCGAAGGCAGAUCUCUAGGGCGUAACUGACGCUGAGGCACGAAAGCGUGGGUAGCGAACAGGAUUAGAUACCCUGGUAGUCCACGCCCUAAACGAUGUCAACUAGUUGUUGGUGGAGUAAAAUCCAUGAGUAACGUAGCUAACGCGUGAAGUUGACCGCCUGGGGAGUACGGUCGCAAGAUUAAAACUCAAAUGAAUUGACGGGGGCCCGCACAAGCGGUGGAUUAUGUGGAUUAAUUCGAUGCAACGCGAAAAACCUUACCUGGCCUUGACAUGUACGGAACUUUCUAGAGAUAGAUUGGUGCCUUCGGGAACCGUAACACAGGUGCUGCAUGGCUGUCGUCAGCUCGUGUCGUGAGAUGUUGGGUUAAGUCCCGCAACGAGCGCAACCCCUGCCAAUAAUUGCCAUCAUUUAGUUGGGCACUUUAUUGGGACUGCCGGUGACAAACCGGAGGAAGGUGGGGAUGACGUCAAGUCCUCAUGGCCCUUAUGGCCAGGGCUUCACACGUAAUACAAUGGUCGGUACAGAGGGUCGCCAACCCGCGAGGGGGAGCUAAUCCCAGAAAGCCGAUCGUAGUCCGGAUUGUUCUCUGCAACUCGAGAGCAUGAAGUCGGAAUCGCUAGUAAUCGCGGAUCAGAAUGUCGCGGUGAAUACGUUCCCGGGCCUUGUACACACCGCCCGUCACACCAUGGGAGUGGGUUUUACCAGAAGUAGUUAGUCUAACCUUCGGGGGGACGAUUACCACGGUAGUAUUCAUGACUGGGGUG
rnacentral:rRNA from 1 species